rnacentral:rRNA from 1 species
GACGAACGCUGGCGGCGUGCUUAACACAUGCAAGUCGAACGAUGAAGCGGUGCUUGCACCGUGGAUUAGUGGCGAACGGGUGAGUAAUACGUGAGUGACCUACCUUUGACUCUGGGAUAAGCCUGGGAAACUGGGUCUAAUACCGGAUACGACCAAUCUCUGCAUGGGGUGUUGGUGGAAAGCGUUAUGGAGUGGUUUUAGAUGGGCUCACGGCCUAUCAGCUUGUUGGUGAGGUAAUGGCUUACCAAGGCGACGACGGGUAGCCGGCCUGAGAGGGUGACCGGCCACACCGGGACUGAGACACGGCCCAGACUCCUACGGGAGGCAGCAGUGGGGAAUAUUGCACAAUGGGCGCAAGCCUGAUGCAGCGACGCCGCGUGAGGGAUGACGGCCUUCGGGUUGUAAACCUCUGUUAGCAUCGAAGAAGCGAAAGUGACGGUAGGUGCAGAGAAAGCGCCGGCUAACUACGUG